rnacentral:tRNA from 1 species
UCCCUGGAGGGCUAGUGGUUAGGCCGUGGCGCUCUCACCGCCACAGCUGGGGUUCGAUUUCCAGCCAGGGAA